UACGGAGGGUGCAAACGUUGCUCGGAAUCAUUGGGCGUAAAGCGCACGUAGGCGGCGAAGCAAGUCGGGUGUGAAAUCCCUCGGCUCAACCGAGGAAGUGCACUCGAUACUGUGUCGCUUGAGUGUUGGAGGGGAUGGCGGAAUUCCCGGUGUAGAGGUGAAAUUCGUAGAUAUCAGGAGGAACACCGGUGGCGAAGGCGGCCCCCUGGUUGGAUACUGACGCUGAGACGCGAAAGCGUGGGGAGCAAACAGG
rnacentral:rRNA from 1 species